GGGUGAUCUUACGUCCUUGUUGCCUGUUAUGUUAUAUUUGGCUGUUUUUGGUAUGGAAUGGGCACGCUGUUGGUUAAUUCAUUACCUUGGUAUUUUUGACAUUUAAUGAUUGUGUUGCCGUGCGUUUUGGUGUGAAAUUUAGUAGUUGUAGUAAUGCUACGGUUGCCUCGUUGUUUACGAAUACCUCCUGUUAUGUUGUUAUUUGUUUAAUGCUAUUACUAAGCGAUACAGCAUCUGACGGUGUGUCGUUGAGAUAUGUGUUAUUUGAUGUGCCGGCCACAUUCAUUUUUUGUGGAAAUGUGUUUUUUGUAUGUAUUUUCUUCCUCUGUACUGUUUCGGAAACGUCUUCGUGUUUCAACUUGUUUGUCCUGUGCCUUUCCUAUAAUCUCAGAAGUGAAUUUACAUAUUGUGGACGUCUUUGGCAAUGUUCUGCGCACCUAUUGGCUAGAAGUGUUUGCGUCGUGAUUUAUGCAAAAUAGUAAUGGCGGUGGGAAAUGACGGUGGACUGUUGAAAUGUGUGUUUUACGGUUUUGGACGGUAGUGUGUGUGGUGGUGUAGGAGACGUGAUAGUACGCUG
rnacentral:lncRNA from 1 species